ACGUCAAAUCAUCAUGCCCCUUAUGUCCUGGGCUACACACGUACUACAAUGGUUGUAACAGAGGGAAGCGAAGCAGUGAUGCAGAGCAAAACCCUAAAAACGACCUCAGUUCGGAUUGAAGGCUGAAAUUCGCCUUCAUGAAGUUGGAAUUGCUAGUAAUGGCAGGUCAGCAUACUGCCGUGAAUACGUUCCCGGGCCUU
rnacentral:rRNA from 1 species